GAUGAACGCUGGCGGCGUGCCUAAUACAUGCAAGUCGAGCGAACAGACGAGGAGCUUGCUCCUCUGACGUUAGCGGCGGACGGGUGAGUAACACGUGGAUAACCUACCUAUAAGACUGGGAGAACUUCGGGAAACCGGAGCUAAUACCGGAUAAUAUAUUGAACCGCAUGGUUCAAUAGUUAAAGACGGUUUUGCUGUCACUUAUAGAUGGAUCCGCGCCGCAUUAGCUAGUUGGUAAGGUAACGGCUUACCAAGGCGACGAUGCGUAGCCGACCUGAGAGGGUGAUCGGCCACACUGGAACUGAGACACGGUCCAGACUCCUACGGGAGGCAGCAGUAGGGAAUCUUCCGCAAUGGGCGAAAGCCUGACGGAGCAACGCCGCGUGAGUGAUGAAGGUCUUCGGAUCGUAAAACUCUGUUAUUAGGGAAGAAAAAAUGUGUAAGUAACUAUGCACGUCUUGACGGUACCUAAUCAGAAAGCCACGGCUAACUACGUG
rnacentral:rRNA from 1 species